GCGUUAACUACAGCAGCCUUUAAUACCUCAACUCUUGAUUCAGCCAAGGUAAGUGCCCCCCCUUAUAUUUUCUAUGUAUGUGUUCAGCUGAUAUUUAGAAAAAAAUAGGUGUGUUUGGCGCUGGAUGUCAUUUUAUUCCAGAGCUGUUGUUUGUAAUUAAAACUUUUAAGAUUAGAUGGUACAGUGUUUUUACUCCCUUCCAAACAGUAAAGUUCCUCUUUGUCUCUCAGUAGGAAAUUUAAACCAGACAGUACAAGGCUACAUUUCAGUGUUACAAGCCAAUCAGUUUGCUAAUUGUUCUGUGAGAUUUGUUUGCAAAGUUUAAGGUGUUAAGUAGGACUGUGAACAUCUGGGUCUGCUUGCUGCUGGCAUUCUGCCAGAGCCCCAGCAACAAGACCGCCUCCCAGCAACGAGACUGCCUGUCAGCCUUGCAAGGUACCCAAUUUUCCAAUUACUCUAUAACAAAACUGUUGUGGGCAACAAGACUGUCUCCUAAGUUUGCAAGCCAAUCACUUUGCCAAAUGUUCUUGUAAGAUUUGUUUGAAAAGUUUGAGGUGGUAACUGAGCUGUGAACAUCUGGGUUUGCUUGCUGCUGGCAUUCGACCAGCGUCUCAGCAACAACACUGCCUCCCAGCUUUGCAAGGUAAUUACUUUCCCAAUUACUGUACACCAAAACGAAGUAACUGUCGUGGUCAACAAAUCUGCCUCCCAACUUUCAAGGUAAUCACUUUCUCAAUUACAAUAUACAAACUGUUAUGGAACAGAGAUUUUUUUUGUUCUUGUAGUCAUCUUGUCUGUCAAUGUAUCAGAGGGUUAAAAUAACAAAUUGCUUGAAAUGCCAAUAAUUAAUAUUCUGUUUUUAUGUUGACAUUCUACCAGAUGCCGAGAAAAAAUAAAAGAUCCCAGGCACAAAAGAAGCGCUGGAAACCACUUGACCUGGUCGAUCCUGCUGUCCCAAUGCUCACUGGCCACAACCAAGAUGAGGCAGUCAGUAGUUUUCCAUCUGACCAGACGGCACCAGCCGGGUUAUCUUUGGAAACACAGGAUAGACCCACCUCCUUAUGUUCCCCAGGUACCAAGAUUUCAGACAAUCGUCCACCAGCAAAAUGAGUCUGGGCAACUGAUGAUUUCCACACGGCAUCAAAUUCUCCACCUAAAAAGGUAUGCCC
ensembl:lncRNA